UACGUAGGGGGCAAGCGUUGUUCGGAAUUACUGGGCGUAAAGGGCGCGUAGGCGGCAUGGCAAGUCGGGAGUGAAAGGCCUGGGCUCAACCGAGGAACUGCUUUCGAGACUGCCAGCUAGAGUGCGGAAGGGGCAUCUGGAAUUCCCAGUGUAGCGGUGAAAUGCGUAGAUAUUGGGAAGAACACCUGAGGCGAAGGCGGGAUGCUGGGCCGACACUGACGCUGAGGCGCGAAAGCCAGGGGAGCAAACGGG
rnacentral:rRNA from 1 species